rnacentral:tRNA from 1 species
AGUUUAUGAACUUGUAUAAGUGUAUGUUUUGAAAACAUAACAAAGAGAUAAAAUUCUCUAUUAACUU